rnacentral:rRNA from 1 species
UUCGGACCUCGCGCUUAUGAGAUGAGCCUGCGUUAGAUUAGCUAGUUGGUAGGUAAGGCCUACCAAGGCGACGAUCUAUAGCUGGUCUGAGAGGACGAUCAGCCACACUGGGACUGAGACAUGGCCCAGACUCCUACGGGAGGCAGCAGUGGGGAAUAUUGGACAAUGGGCGCAAGCCUGAUCCAGCAAUACCGCGUGUGUGAAGAAGGCCUUAGGGUUGUAAAGCACUUUCAAUUGGGAGGAAAACCUGCCGGUCAAUACCCGGUAGCUUGACAUUACCUUUAGAAGAAGCACCGGCUAACUCCGUG